rnacentral:rRNA from 1 species
UACGAAGGGGGCUAGCGUUGUUCGGAAUUACUGGGCGUAAAGCGCGCGUAGGCGGUGAUCCAUGUCAGAGGUGAAAGCCCGGGGCUCAACUCCGGAAUUGCCUUUGAAACGGGAUCGCUAGAGUCCGAGAGAGGAUGGCGGAAUUCCUAGUGUAGAGGUGAAAUUCGUAGAUAUUAGGAAGAACACCGGUGGCGAAGGCGGCCAUCUGGCUCGGUACUGACGCUCAGGCGCGAAAGCGUGGGGAGCAAACA